UUUUCUAAUUUAAUUUGCUUCCUCCUUCCAGAAUUCAUAUUUUGCUCUGUAGUGUAAUUCAUCGGUAAAAAUUAAUCAAUUUCCAUCUCUGACAAGGUGGGAAUUCUAGAUUGGAGAUGUGUAGACAUUGUUGUGAUUGUCUUGUCCAUUGCUUUGGUUUAAUUGUGAUGGAAUCAGAUGAAAAAAUUCUUUGAGUCGAGCUUAGAAGGGUUGCUGCGUGAUUGCUGUGUGUUGAAUGUUACUUUGCUCAAGGACGAGUAAGAGUUCAAGUUUUGAGGUAUUUGAUGCGAAUCAAAUAUACUAUUCUUCCUCUCAUCUUUCAUAUGCUAUAUCACAUUUAUAGGCUCAUAGAGGUGCAUUUUCCAUGUUAUAAAAACAUGAGUACUCAUAAAUAAACUACAAAGAUGGAAACAUAACCAUCUUCCAACA